GCCCGUGGUUGUGAGCGCUGCCGUGCGGUGCACGCUGGGAGUAACGCUCGACGCGUAGCCAUCUUGUUGGUGUGGGUGGGCAACGCGGAGAGACCCCGGGAGCGGCGGACUCAAUACACGUCGGUGCCAUGUUAUCCGCCGCGCAGCUACUAGAUGAGCUGAUGGGCCGGGACCGGAACCUGGCCCCGGAUGAGAAGAGGUGCAACGUGCGCUGGGAUGAUGAGAGUGUGUGCAAGCAUUAUCUGUGUGAGUUUUGUCCGGCUGAGCUGUUUACAAACACUCGAUCAGAUUUGGGUCCAUGUGAAAAAAUCCACGACGAGAACCUCCGUAAGCAGUAUGAGAAGAGCUCUCGCCACAUGAAAGUUGGCUAUGAACGUGAAUUCUUGCGGUACUUACAGAGCUUGCUUGCAGAGGUUGAACGGAGGAUUCGGAGGGGCCAUGCUCGCUUGGCACUAUCUCAGAAUCAGCAAGCAGCAGGAGCUGUUGGGCCAGCUGGAAAGAAUGAGGAGAAAAUACAGGUGUUGACAGACAAAAUUGAAGCACUGUUGCUGCAGAUAGAAGAGCUGGGUUCGGAAGGCAAGGUGGAGGAGGCGCAAGGGAUGAUGAAACUUGUUGAACAGUUAAAAGAAGAGCGAGAACUUCUAAAAUCUUCCACAUCAACAAUUGAAAGCUUUGCCGCUCAGGAGAAGCAGAUGGAGGUGUGUGAAGUCUGUGGUGCCUUUUUAAUUGUUGGAGAUGCUCAAUCCCGUGUAGAUGAUCAUCUUAUGGGUAAACAACAUAUGGGCUAUGCCAAAAUAAAGAACACUGUGGAAGAAUUAAAGGAAAAACUGAGGAAAAAAACAGAUGAGCCUGAACGUGAUGAUCGGUUAAAGAAAGAGAAAGAGGAAAAAGAACGUGAGAAAGAGAAGGAAAAGGAGCGAGAGGAAAAGGAAAAAAAAAGACGCAAAGAGGAGGAAGAGCAGCAGCAACGGGAGAAAGAAAAGAACAGAGAGAAGGAGAAGCGCAAAAGAAGUCGUUCACGUAGCCAAAACUCCACCAGACCGUCAGACAGGCGUGGCAGCCGGUCACGGGACCAUAAGAGGUCAAGGAGCCGAGACAAGAGAAGAAGCAGGAGCAGAGAGCGCCAACGAAGCCGCAGUCACAAUCGCACAGAACGGAAGCAUCGAUCACGCAGCAGAGACAAGCGUAGGUCUAAGAGCAGAGAACGUAAAUCCUACAAACACAGAAGCAGAAGCCGUGAGCGAGAACGUGAGAGGAGAUCAAAGGAAAAAGAAAAGAGGACUUCUGACGACAGAAAAAGUAGCAAGUCCAGCAGUCGAGAUGUACAGAGUGAAUCUCGCAAAUCUGACUCCAAGGAAUUUUCUUCACCGACCUCAGUGAAUGGGGCCAAUGAAGGCAUAAAAUCUGAAGGUGACACUCAGUCCAAUUAAAACUGAUCUGAUUUGACCUCUGAUCAGUCAGAGCGUUGGUGUUGUAAGCGGGCCCCUGAAAAUGCCAAAUUAAAAAUCAAGGAUUCAGUCAUACUAAUCAGAACUGCGUACAGAAGAUCAAGAGCUCCACAAGAUGUCUUAAUUGAAGAUCUACUUUAUAUGAGGUGACAGAAACCUGUAAUGAGAAUUAAAAACUCAGAGUUUGUUCUAAACUAUUAAGUUGAGAACUGAAGUAAUUCUCUAGAAAUUCUUUAGUCCAGUGGCUCUAAUGAAAUGUUAGCCCUGGUAUUUCUGCCAGGAGACACUGAAAAAUAUUUAAAAUGUGCAAGCGAAUAUUAGACACGUGGCUUGCAUAUUUGUUAAGUUAAAAAUAAUAAAAUUUCGGACUUGGAAACACAAAAUAAUUACCUUUUGUGAACCACGUUAUUUUUUUUAUUUUAUUUUUUACAAGUAGAAUUUAGAAUAUCUAUAAAUAAAUGCAUCUUCUAAUUUCUGUUGUAUAUGUGCUUUGUUGUUUGGCUUGGUAUUACCUGCUUUUUCAAAUAAACUUGUUACUGUUUA